AGGGGGCGGAGGGGCUAGCGCGUGCGCACUGGAAAGCUGUUUUGGCGGGCGUUGCGCAGAAGCGGUGGCCGUGAGGGGGUACAAACCAGGGAGGGGGAAGUUGGUUUCGUACCGAGCCGUUACUUUCCCCAGGAAUUGGGUAGCCUUGGUGCAUUAGGUACAACUUCUGCGCUAUGGGAAAAAGAAACAAGAGGACAGCAGAUAGUUCGUCCUCUGAAGAGGAGGAGGAAUAUGUUGUGGAGAAGGUUCUAGACAGGCGUGUUGUGAAGGGUCAAGUGGAGUAUCUUCUCAAGUGGAAAGGAUUCUCUGAGGAGCAUAAUACCUGGGAACCUGACAAGAACCUUGAUUGCCCUGAACUAAUUGCUGAGUUUAUGAAAAAAUACAAAAAAAUGAAGGAAGGUGAAAACAAGCCUCGGGAGAAAUCAGAGGGCACCAAGCGGAAGUCUAGCCUUGCCAACAACAAUGAAGAGAUCAAAGCCAAAAAGAAGAGAGAGAGCACCGAUAUUGCCAGGGGCUUUGAAAGAGGAUUGGAGCCAGAAAAAAUCAUCGGAGCCACAGACUCCUGCGGAGAUUUAAUGUUCCUAAUGAAAUGGAAAGACACAGAUGAGGCUGAUCUGGUUCUAGCAAAAGAAGCCAAUGUGAAGUGCCCUCAAAUUGUGAUAGCAUUUUAUGAAGAGAGACUGACCUGGCAUGCGUACCCCGAAGAUGCUGAAAACAAAGAACGGGAAGCAGUGAAAAGCUAAAGUGGCUGGGGUUCUCUGUCCAUCCAGAAUUGUACAUAUCCGCCAUCCCUUUCCCUCUGCCCAAAUGCAUCCAUGGAAAUGUGCUUAUUACUGUGCUCGACAGGAGAAGUGUUGAUAUUGGUUGGUUUAGUCAUAACAUAAAUGGUGUGAGUCACGUUUGGUUUCCCUCCAGGAGAUUGACAUGCCGUGUGUGUUCUUCUAUCACCUCAUCAUAAAUAACAAUAAUGGUUUUUGUUUUUAAAGCUCCCUCGGAGCUUCCAGCCUUUUCUUCUUGCCUGGCUAUUUAGUUCUGCAUCAUCAUGUUCUAUGUAGAGAAUUGUUAACCAUCAUUGUUACUGAUUUAAAAAUGGCAGGAGCUCCCUGAAUUCAGGACAGACCCAAAUUUAUUUCAAAAUUGCUAACAUGUUGCUUGAAUUGCAUUCAAAGAUGCUAGGUAGCCAUUUUCAUCCUAAUUUUCUAACUUCAGCUCAAAACAGUUACCUUUUGGAGAACAAAUAGAAAUUAGUUGGCAAGGAUAGCAUCUUUUGAACCUGUCCCUUCUCAUUUUACUCCUCUUGUUCCUUCCCAUGUCUCUUACCUUAUUACUGGUGCUACUUGCAUGACAUGUUUAGUUAGAUUAUAAGGGUAUCUAAUUAAUCAUGUUGUGUGUACUCCAAAAAUUGAGUUAGUUGACCUAUAACUUAGCAUGGCAACAAAUUCUCCUCCCCCCCCACUUGCUAGAGAAUUCACUCCCUCUUUUAACAACUGUGAUCAACAUGUACCCCUAGAGAAGCCCUAUAAAAAUAGAGCUUCUGUGGGCCUUCCAUUUCUAUAGUCAUUUUGAUUUUUCAUUCAUUGCACUCCAGGUGUAUGUCUGAAAAGUGAGCAGAUACAGUUGGGAUGUAUAACUCCAUGAAUCUGCAGUGACACCAACCUUAAUUGCAUUGUGGCAACUCGAUUUACUUUCCCAGGGAAUGGAGGGUACAGCAUGAAGUAAGAAAGAAAGUGAUGCCUCCUGUGAGGACUAAAUACAGUGUCACUGAAUGAUCAUCUCUGUCAUUUGGGAUCAUGUGCCCUGAGUGUGCCAGUGUGAAUUAACUGGCUUAAAGAGAACUGGAUCAUUCAUGUUGCACAAAUAGGGCCUUUGUGUUAUGUAGGUAAGUGGAUCAGCCAAACAUAGUGUCAUACUUGGAAACUUAAUUCCUUUUUCUUUUUUUAAAAAAAAUCCAAACUCUGGUUCCAAAAUUCUAAUUCGAUUUGUUUCUGAGAUCUUAGUUGUUUCUUUAAAGACUUCCCCACCAUAUCCUCUGCUUUUGCAUUCUAGUAUGUCAAUCUGUUAUUUUCUGAAUAAGUAUUCAGGUAUAUCUUCAGAGAAAAUUACCAGAUGAGCAUAGUUAUCUCUGGCUGCAUGGCAAGAACCGCUCAGAAAAUGCAAAAGUCCCAGACUGGCAUUUUUAUUCUGAACAAUUGACAGUUAAAAUACAUAGUGAAGUGAAUUCCACAGAUAAAACACAUUUAUUAGCAAUUUAGCUAGAAAUACCAUGUUACAGAAUAUAAGGACGUCUUGGAUUGCAAAUCCAAUUGUGCUUCAUCACUGACUAUCCUGGAUGGGAAGUGGAGUUCAAGAACAGCUGGAGGGUCACACAUUGCCCAUCCCUGGUUUGGGAUGUUGAUCCUUACAAAUGCUAUUUCAGCAGUGGCUUUCCAUCUUAUUCUUCGGCUUCAGGACAGGGUAAUGGGAUUUCAUUUUCAAGUUCCACUGCUGCAGACUCACUUGGCUGCAUCAGUUUUGAAAAGUGCCAGUCUCUUACUGCAGUAUCUGAAUUUUUGGAUACCCCCUAAUAGAAGAGUCCUCCGUACUAGUAAGAUUUGAUAGGAGCUUGAAUCAUUACUGAAAUAUGGUGCAGGCUACUUUAAAAUGGACCUUGGUCCUUAACAUUUAUUUCAGAAUCUGAAUUCAUGCUCUUUGGUCUCUGCUACCUUAGCAGUACUCAUGCUGUUUUGUUUUGUUUUUAUAGUGAGAAGAGAUGUGCUACCCAUGCUUGAUCAGAAAAUCCCACCACUACUUACUUCAUUUCUGCAUUGUUGAAUUUCUUUCCUUUUGUUUAGCAAGCAGAUGAAGUAGGUUGCCAUCCUUCCAUUUAUGUAUUCUGUAUCCUGCUAAUAAUCUGUCAGGAAUUGCAACAGGGCAUGGUAUGAUGUAGUAUGACAUGGAUUACAUCUGUGACACAAUUAAUGAUUCAUAUGUCAUUAAGCCCCAUAUCUUGCUAAAUGCCUAGCAUCAGAGAAGUGUGGGCAUUUUUGUUUUGGUGGAUUUCCUUUGAUUAAAUUGAUAGGUGUACUUAUGUCAACCACAUCAAGAUAAAACAUUUAUGAAACAUGUAUUCUAAUUUGUUUGACUCAUGAUAUCAUUCCACGUAUGUAGUUUAAGAACCUAUUUUGCAACCAGUCCAUCUUUCAGUGGUUUUGAGGCAGGUUUGCCUCUAAGAUAUGCAGCCUCUAUGGCUUUGCUUAGCGUAUUCUGUGGAACUGAAUACUGUUUGCUUCCUUAAUGGGGAUGGGUGACACUUUUAAAAUUUUAAUUUGAAGGGGAUCUUGUUGAAAGAAAUGCACUGCUGCAAAAAAAACAUAAAUUAAUAGAAAUAUUUCUUUUUUACACUCCUUAUUUGGUACAGUCAUUUUCAACAAUGUUAAACAAGAGAUAAGUGAAAGUUCAGACUAUAGAUCGGACAUUAGCAUUGCAUUUCUGAUUCCAUUUGAAAGCUUCAUACAUAGACAGAAACAUAGCUGCGUUUGGCUAAUGGCCAGCUAUUGCUCUUGAAUCCCACUGAACUUAAUUUUUUACUGCAUUAGUUCUUCAGUGUGGGGGUAUUUUCAUUCAUCUGAAUCACAUGAGCUGGAAGAGGACAGCAGUUGCAAAACAGGAUUUGGGAAGCUGUAUGGAUUUAACAGUUUGUUUGCAUGUGAUUUGUACCACUUACACAUUGAAUAAAUAAUUACUUGAGGUUUGUUUUUUUUUUUAGUCAGCCUCAGGUUCUGAUUUUUGCAUGUGACUCUCAAAUGAGAAAAAUAUCCCUUUCAUCCAUUAUACUUCACAGAAUACUAGUUAUCUUGCCCCACUCCCUUGGAAUUCUCUAAUUUCUGUAUGACAGCUGAGGAGGUCAAAUUAUUAUGUAUUGUAUGACUACUAUCAAGGAUAAAAGCAGUAGAGAUGACAAUUUAUUAAUAGCCAUCUGUCUAAAAUGAAGCAAAACAUAAAAGCACCUGGAUGCUCCACAUCUUCCUAAAAGGAAGACUUCUGAAUUCUAACUCCUUCAAGAAAAGAACAGAGAAAAAUAAAUACAAUAUUCAGUUUUGUGCAGCUUACUACCUACCUACCUACCUACAAAUUGCUAACUCUAGCAGAAAGCAGUUCUGGAGGUUUUCCCUAUUGCACAUACAUGUGCUUUUGUGAAACAUACAUUGACCAGAACCCACUCCCCAACAAGGACAAGACCAGGACAAAAAAUAAAUUGAAUAAUUAAUGAUUAAAAAUAAUUGCCUAUAAAACAAGGUACCCAUUUCUAAAAUUAAAUGAUUUCUGUGUAAUACAAGUCCACCAUUCUACAAACGAGGAUAUAUGCAUUCAUGAGACCAUUUUCUUCCAGAAAAUCACAAAAAUAGUGGCAAUGGAGUAAAGGGAAAUUAACACUAGAAAGAACAAUGGUAAACCAAACUGGGUGGGGAUGGAAGAAUGGAACGGAAGAAUAGAGGAGUAUCUGAAAGGAGUCAGAGGAGGGACAAACCACCGCCAUUCCCUGUCAUAAGAGUGGGGAUUGUAGAAAAAUACAUGUGAAGUUCAGGGAUAAAGAUGGUAUUUUUAGAGCCCUCCCCCCCAAAAGAAAAUAUGUAUUGGCAAUAAUUUAAGCUUUUAAGUAACAUCUUUCUGGGAGAAUUAAAAAACGCUUGGCUAAAUACAGUAUUUGCCCUUGAUGUCCUAUUAGGACUAUUAGCUCAGGUGGGAAGCUUACUCUUUUAGCUUAGGGGGGAAAAUGGUGUCAUCAGCUAUCUGGUAGGAGAUGGAUUAGUAGGUGUGAUGAGGAACAUGUAUUAGAAUGGAUCUUCAAGUUUGGCCCUUUUAUGACUUGACUUCAACUCCCAGUUGUAUUAGAACCAGAAAAAAAAAAAGCCCAGACAUCUGAAGAGUCUGCUGAGAGCAAGAGUCACAUAUAGGUAAUCCUUGUCUUAUGACAUUACAACAGACUGCCCAGGGUACUUUUCAGACACUUGGCAACUGACCUGUGUUUAUGAUUGCAGUCUUGCAGUUACAUAGUUGCAUUUACUUCAGAUUUUUGGCCCAUAGCAAUCAGUUGGUUUGUUCAAAGACCACUGCAUAAAAUUGGGUCAGUCACAUGGGUGGCAUGCUUUACAACCAUCCUGACUUAACUGUAAUGGGCAGACUCCAUUAAGUUGAGGACUACCUGUAUUUGCCUCAGAGCCCUGUCUCCCCUUUAAAGGCUAUAUGUCUUUAAUGGUUUCUUCUCAAGCACUGGCCAAUGCUCACUCGUGAUUUAAUAGCAUCACAUAACAAAUUUCAGCCAUCAUUGAGGCGCUAUAAUUUGUCCUCAUUAUUGUUACAUUGACACAAUGAUGCUCUAAAUCACUCCUGGGGAUUUCACCCAUGCCUCAGUAUGUAUCUGCAUUGUCUGUAUUUUGUGGAAGUGGGCAAAGUGGUAGAAGGAGUGUUGAAUCUGGAGCAAGUGCUGUGGAUGAUUGAUAGUCUGCCAUUCCUUUCUGUGCUGCAAUCCUGUAAAGUCAAGUCUAAGAUGGAGAAGGUCUCUGCUGUUACUAGAUUAUUAGCUUUCCAGUUUGUGUCUUUUCAGGUAUUUUGGCUGGCAUUGCCUCUCACCAGCUAAAUUCAUUGGGCAAACCAGAAUCAAGUUGAAUUGCAGGCUAAAUAAGAGACAUUUCCCAAAGUGUUGAGGAACCAACUCUGAUAACCUUUAGGUAUUAAAAUCCUGCUACCUUGCUGAUUUUACCCUUACUUUAUUCUCAAAUGUAUUGGAGAGAAAGCUUAAGACAGCCUUGAAGUGCACCUUUUUUUCCCUACUCCUGUAUGUACCAGCCUAAAAGCUACCUUCUUCACCAACAGCUGCUAAUAGAAAUUUUUACAUGGAGUUAACAAGGAAGACUUCUGUGAUUACAAGAUUACUUGUGUGCCAGGCUAAAAAGAAAAAGGCAUUUUAGGAAAUUGAUAGUGACAAUGCUGUUACUAGUAAAAAAAAUAAAAGAAAAAAAAUUGGCAUUUCUCUUUCUCUGGAAGUAUUUGCUAGGAUUUUGAGAUGGACUAGUGCAUGUGUGUUUUAAAUGCCUACUCUUGUACGGCUUGUUCAAUGCAUGAAUGUGACUGAUUUGUUGCCAUGUGGGGAGAAUUAUUAGAAUAACUAGCAUACAAUCUUGGCCUUCUUCCACCCUCAACUACAUAAUUUAAAAUUUUAUUUUGGAUGCACCAUUAAUAUAAAGUAGCAUACACACAGGACCUUUCAUCAUUUGUCAAAUUUAAUGAACAUCAGAAGGUUCUUUGUCAAACAAAUGAAGCAAAAAUAGGGCAACUUGACACUUGAAGAAUUGCUUUAGCAACUGCAGCUGAAAUGCUAAAAUGCUAGUUUUCUCUACUGGCAAAACUGUAAGUAUAGCAACAGCUGUCCCACAGUGUGACCUCUGUAAUAUGGUGUAACCCAGGCAUGUCAAACUUGUGGUGUCACGUGACGUCGCGCAACGUAUCAUGACUUUUUCCCCAUUGCCGGCAAUGGGGUGGGCUCAGUUUCAGUAUGAUACAUCCCCGGCAGUUUGACAUGCCUGGUGUAACCCUAUUCAAAGGCUCUUCUUUUAAGUCAAGAGUUGUUUUUUCUAAACUAUCAACAGAUUUUUUUUUUAAAGGAAAAAAUGUUUCACCCUUUAGCUGAAGAUCCUGUUAAGUUCGCCUUUCUUAGUAUAGUUGAGAAACACUGGUAUAGAACUAGCCAGCUGAUUCUAAAUUUCCAGGAUUUCUAAGCCAUUCAUGCUGCAUUUAGGUGACUUCUAAACUGAUCCCACCGCCUCAUUUUUUUUUUUUUUUUUUUUUUUGGCUCCUGGUCUAAAUGUUUCAAUGGCAAAAAAAAAAAAAGAAAAAAAACUUUUUGGUGUCAGCUUUUUCGCGUCUUCUUGUGUUUGAAAGUUGUGGGGAUGGGGUAUAUAUGUGUAUGAUACAUCGGGAGGUUUGAAUCUUGGCUUUCUAUGUGUCUGUUUAAAUAUUGCAUAUUUUAAACUGACUACUAUUAUGAAUUUAUCAGCAUUUAAGUUUAUGGUAAAGGCAAUUAUGUAGAUGCAGUUUUCUGAUGCAACACUUUCUUAAGAGGCUGUCAAACAUAAAUUGUUAUCCUCGGUCACCUAAGCAUGGAUUAAAAUACAAAGAGAAUUAAUUUUGUGGUAAUUAAACUCAUUAAUUUUUGAUUAACAAUUUAAUUUUUACCCAGGUGGCAUUUAAAUCUUCUCGGCUGUAUGGGCUCUAAUGAAUUUUGUCUCCUCCCACCAGCAGGAAGAGGAAGAGGAGAGUGAUCAGCCAGCCAGCACAAUUUGAAUUGUCUCAGAACCUCUGUACCACUGCUGCCUUUCCUUUGUUUCACGUGACCGACUAUCUAUAAUUUUUACCAGUUUAUGCCAUUCAAUUUGGUAUUUAGCCAUAUGACAAAAAUUGGUCAUGGCCCUUUUUCUUUCUGUCUCUCUGUCUCUCCAUCUCUUUCUUGCUCGCUUUUCUUUCUUUCCAUUGGGAACAACUUCUCUGCAAGUUUUCAAGUGGACAAGGGACCUCUGAGAUAAUACCUCACUCCACUGCCUCAAAAGCAAACAGUCAAAUUUCUUUCCUUCUGAAAAAUGAAAAGAGAGUUGACUUAAGGAAUUGCUCUGCUUUUGAUUGAGCUUUUUUGACUGCCUGGAUCCAACUGUGUCUCUGACAGAUAAGACUGCAUGAAUUCUUCACUCUGGGUCGAUGCCACAAUUCUUUGUGCAACACUUUGAAUCAUUUGCAAAAGUAUGUCAAGUUGCAGCUUUUGCUUGCAACAAAGAGUUUGGAAGAUUCAUGAACAUCUGUUUGGAUCCAGGUGAAAACACAAGCCCAAUCAUGUGCACAGAAUGUGUGAAAAGGCCUUGGAGGUUUAAUGCCCCUGGUGCUGGUUACAGAAAUGAAUCCCUAUGAUCAGUAUUAGACUCCUGAUGAAAAAAGAGAAAGAUGGUGUGUUAACUCUUUCCCUCCCAGCCCAGCAAUAUGCUGCCCUCCACAACAGAAUGUCGAACUUUUGGCUAAUGGUGUCUCUGUGCAUGUGUGUUAGACCUCUUUGGGGGUAACAUUUUAGCCAAGCCUUUUGAUUCUAAACUAAAGUAGGUUAUGCUGGUUUUUUAAAGUGUGAAAAUAAUUUUUAAAAUGAGCUCUUUGUUGUACAACCUGACAUGUUACAAAUAACCCUCUGCCCCAUGUUCCUCAUCUCUACUCUUUCAUAUUUCUUGUAUCGGUUCUAAUAAAUGGUUACUUUUCA